CGCGCUGCCCGCCCCCCGUGCACGCCGGGCCCGCCGCUGCCCAGUGCCCAGCCCUGCGCCGCAACCCGGCGCCCCGUCCGCCCACCCUGAGCGCCACCGUGAACUCGCUCUUCAGGAAGAGAAACAGAGGCAAAUACAGCCCCACGGUUCGGACCCGCAGCCUAGAUGCUGAGAUUCUGCAUUGGGCAAAGCCCAAGCCCAGGCUGUCCGGAGGAGGCAGAGCUGCUUUCAGCUGCACGCAGGGCCAGGCCCCAGGUGGAACCACCAUGCAGUGUUUCAGAGAGGUGGGCUCAGCGUCGCCCUGCAGUCAGUUGGAAAAGUGCAGGUCAGGCCUUGCUCGCACUUCACUGGAGACCAUGCCCCCUGCUAGUGCGCCUGCCGGGUCCACUCAGCUUUGGAAAUUCAAACUGAAGGAAAGCCAACCAUCCCAUAACUUCUUUAAAAUAGUUAAGGAACCAUUCACUGCUGAUCACAUGGAAUGCAGUGAAUGAGGCUGCAAACCUUAUCUUAUACCACAUUCCCUCAAACGUUUUUAGAGACAAAUUUGACACGCAAAACUCCAUAAAAUAUAGAAGAAAACAUAGAAGAAAGUCAACAUAAUCUCGGAUUUGGUCACGUAGAACCUAAGCUUUGAGUUUCAACACAUGACACAAAAAGGCAAUCUACAAAGGAAAAUAAGCAAUACCAUGGACUUGAUCAAAUGAAAUGUUUCUACUCUGUGAGAGAUGUUGUUCAGGACAUCGGAAUACAAGUACACACUAGAAGUAAAAUUAUUUGCAAACACAUGUCUCAGAAAGAUUUUGUCUCAAAAUAUGCAAAGAACUCUAACGCAAACAACCCUAUUCCAAAUAGGGAAAGAUCUGAAUGGACACCUGGCCAGAGAAGAUACAGAUACCAUACCACAUUACGCCCAGGAUGGGGGAGGAGGGGGCCAGAAACACAAUGUCCAGCUCAACUCCUGAGCUCUGUGUGACCCUGGUCUAGUUCAAUAUGGAAAUAGUAGUACACAAAGCUAGGGCAAACAUGUUCAAUGUUAAAGACAGAAGGAUUUAAUUCUUGAGUUAGGAGCAAAGCCUGACACCUGGCCUUCACCGCUGUACAGUACACUGGAAGUUCUACCCAGUUUUGAGAAAAAAAGCCAUACGUGUGUAAAUGGAAAAAAAGAAAACUGUGUCUAUUCAGGGAACUCAGAUCACAUCCUCUCAUAUAUAAAACUUACUAUAAUCAACACAAAAAUAUUUAAGCUAAUCAACUAAUGCAGCGAAGUUACAUAUUCAUAACAGUCUAUCUUUUUUGUAUACACUCACAAUAAAUAAUCUGAAAAAUAAUUCAUGAAACCACUUGCAUUUCCAGUAACAUCAAUAUUUCUAUCCAGGAAUAUAUUUCAUCAACAUACAAGACUUGUUUUUAUGGAGGUAGAGUUAGUCUGUACGUUUGAAAUUACUGGAAAGUAAAUUACUUUUCAAGACACCAUGUCAAUACCAUGCCAGAAACGCUAAGAAAACAGCAGAUUUCCACACAGAAGCCAAGCCUUACCCAGAUCCAGUUCACCCAGGCUCCACACAGUUUAGAGGCACUGUGGAAAGGCUUUACGAGGAUCCACUCUCUUCUGUGCUGUGGAUGACCUGGGUGUGGUAGAAACAGUGGUAUUUUUUUUAAUUCCAAUUUUUCACAUCAUUCUACCACAAACCAAUCAGAAAUAAUAAAUGAAUUCAGAAGUUUCAGAAUCAAUACACAGAAAUCACCUGCAUUUCUAAACACUAAUAAUGAACCAUCAGAAAGAGAAAGAAAACAGUCCUAUUUAUAAUUGCAUCAAAAAGAACAAAAUACCUAGGAGUAAAUUUAACUAAGGCCAUGAAAGCCCUGCACACUGAAUACUUUGAGACAUUGAUGAAGAAAUUGAAAAAGACACAAAUAAAUGGAAAGAUACCCCGAACUCAUGGAUGGAAGAAUUAAUUUUGUUAAAAUGUCCAUUCUACCCUAAGGACUGUACACAGUGAAUACAAUCCCUAUCAAAAUCCCAAUGGCAUUUUUCACAGAAAUAGAGCGAAUCACCCUAAUAUUUGUGUGGAACCACAAAGGACCCCGAAUAGCCAAAGUGGCCUAAGAAAGAACAGGCUGGAGGCAUCUCCUGACUUCACACUACAAUACAAAGCUACAGUCACCAAAACAGUGUGAAACUGGGAUGAAAACAGGCACGUGGAGCAGAGGAACAGAACACAGAGCCCAGAAAUAAACCUACACAUAUGUGGCCGGAACACCCCAAGGGGAAGGACAGCGCCGUCAGCAGGCAAUGCUGGGAAAAGAGGACACCACAUGCCACGUGCUGUCUACACCAGACACAAAACAGAUAAAACCCCAGUUUUCCACACCAAGCCCACCUGGGUCGUCUGAAGAUGGACUCACCCGACCCCCCCCAGCAGUCAGCUGCACACAGGGAGCUUCUCCCCACUUGUCCUCACCUUUUCCUCCUGGAAGCACCGGGGUCAUCAGGAAAUCCAGCUUCUGUCAGCAUGGACGCAGCCCCGCCUUGUCCUGAAGCCACAGCCCCAGAAUCCUAAGGAGACUGAGUUCCUGUUGCAUAGACGCUGACCUGCAGUUUUUCCCCAAAGCGCAGCCAUGGUGGGGCCUGAGGAGACAGCUCCUCUCAGCAGAGAGCCAAGUCCAUGGUGGAAGCCACGUGGGUAAGAGGUGCAGGCUCAGCGCCACCCUGUGGUCAAUGCAGAGAGAGCAGGGCCAAGUUCACAGUCCAGUGGAGACAUUGCCCCCUGCUGGCAGAAGUGCUGAAUCCAUUAAACUGGAAAUUCAAACUGAAAUGGAGACAAUGUCCCUUAACAUCUCCAAAAAUAGUUAAGGAACAAUUAAUGGGAGACCGUAUGGAAUGAAGUGAGUGUAGCCAUAAGCCUUAUGACUUAUACCGAACUCACUCAAAAUUAUCGAUAGACAAAUUUUAAAUGCAGAACUAUUGAAAUUAUAGAGGUAAACGUAGAAGAACAUUUACAUGACCUUGGGUUCAGUCAUGUAGAGAAUGAGCUUUGAGUUUUACCACACAACACAGAAAGCCAACUUACAACAGGAAAACAAGGAAUAUAACAGACUUUACAAAAUUAAAGAUUUCUACUCUAGGAAAGACGUUAUUCAAAAAACCAAAAGACAAGCCACAAACUGAGAGAAAAAUAUUUGUGAAGCACAUAUCUGAUAAAGGAUUUGGACUCAAAAUAUACAAAGAACUCUAAAACAACCCCAUAAAAAUGAAAUGGGUAAAGAUCUUAACAGGUGCCUGGCCAAAGAAGACAUACAGAUACGCUCAACAUCCUGCACUAUUAAGGAAUUACAAAUUAAAAUCACGAGAUAUCACAGCACACCUAUUAGAACUGCUAAACUCCAAAAAUAUGAAAAUACCAGUUGCUGGUGGUGAGGAACAAGAACUCUCCUUCAUUGCUGGUGGAAUGCACGUACAGCCACUUUAUAAGACAGGUGGGCAGUUUCCCCCAAAGCUAAACAAUUCUCACCUUGGGAUCCAACAAUCUUGCUUCCAGCAAAUGCUUUGAAAACUUAUGUCCAAAUGCAAACAAGGCUGUAAUUAUGCACAGCAGCUUUACUCACGGUGGGUAAAAACUUGAAGAAAUCAGGAUGUCCUUUAAUAGAUGAAUGCAUAAGCAAACUGGGGUACAUCCAUGUCAAGGGGACCAGAAUAUGGAUUAAGGAGUGUCACAGGAUGGAAUAUGCAAUGUGACACAGAAUCUAACUGUAUUAGAAAUGUAUGGGGAAAAAAAAGAAAUGUAUGGACAAAACUCGAUGGUGGAGCAAAAAAUGCUGACUUAAAUUAACUUUGGAAAUGAAUAAAAUCUGUAUUGAAUUAAGUUUUGUUAA